UAUAUAUAUAUCGUAGUCUCUGCCUCUCUGAGUUUCCGGAAACAAUUGGAAGACAAAAGGGUUUUUGCUUUCAUUGAAAUUUAGAGGAGAAAUAUGGGAUUUUGAUUGAGUUUUUAGGGAUUUUUUAGCUAGCUAGAUUGAA